UUUCAUUUCUUUAGAAAACUAUAAUUUGAAAGACAUAUAUGUCAGGUAUUUUUCCAAGAGUUGGUACUUUUCUGUACUAAGCUCAAGAAAAAGCUCUUUGUGGUCUUGUGCCCUUUUGGACUCUCUUACAGCAGGCUGCAGUCUGAGGACUUCUCAGUGCUUCAGAUACGUUGCUGAACACAAGGCAAGUAUAACAGUAUAGAGAUUUAGUUAGAAACCUAAAAGAGGAAACAGGAGAUCCCAUGGAAGUUCAAACAGCGUUGGAAAGAAAUAGAAAUGUCAGCCUAUAGCUAAAUGACAAUACAACAAAAGAUACUGGAUGUAAUAAUCCUGGGAAGGAGGUGAGUGCACAAAGAUUUAUAAGUAGGUCACAGUAAGCGUCCUGCCUGCCACAGCUGACAGAGCGUAUUGAUUCUUUUGGAAGGGUGCCUUUAUGGAGAUGCUUUUGCCUAACGUAGCCGCAUGAAUCAGCAGUCUUUGCGAUGGGGUGAGAGCUGGACCGAGGUCUUAGCGACUAGUCUGAGUGGUUAUGUUACUGGGACGACAAGUGUAAACUUCAGCUGUUUGGAGACCUUUCCAAGAACACUGGCACAGUCCUGCUAACCUGAUCUUUCCCAUGCUACCAAACCACCUCUGAUGGAGACCACAGCAGCAAAAUGAACAAACAGCAGCAGUUCUGCAUCCUGUCCUGUAUGAAGGGCACUGAGUUCCACCAAAGAGCACAGGUCGGGCAAUAUUUCUGUCAGACUUCUCACAUGACGAGUCUCUGUCGUUGGGAUGAAGCCUGGCAGAUGACAAGAUGUUGCUGAAUGGCUUAAAGGAAAGAAUAAGGGAAUAAUCCAGCACCAGACAGUGUCAGCUAAAAAAGGAUAUCUGGACUAGUUGAUUGUCAAGAUGGCUGGGUGGUCACAGACCUUCAUGGAUCUGACAGGCAACUGGAUGGCUCAGGAGUUCAUCAUGUGGAAUCACAGAUGAUAUUGUGUUGGAAAUAAAAGAAGGGGCCAGGGGAAUUCAAGGAAGGAAAAAGAAAGAGAAGAAUGUAUAAAGUUGCUGCCUUGUGCUUUCUCUUAAGCGUAUGGGCUGUGCCCACUGGUGCUGGUCGGGGAAGCAUCAGGUUCCCUUUUAACUUUUCCUCUCAUCCGCAUGUGUGUGCCUGGAAAGUAAGUGGGGAACGCCUGUAAGUAGAGCGAUGUGCAAUGUUUCUUUAUUCUGAAACACAAUUCUUUUGGAAUGAUAGAAGAAGGACUCUUUGGAGUUCUUAAAUUACCGACUGUCCUUUCUGCACAAGUGGUUUUUGUUGGUGUGGGUGUUUUCCGGUAGCAGUGUCCCACAGGCUUCGCGUGCUACUAUUGCUUCGUGUGUCUGCAGAAUUGCCAGAGUGUUCAAUACCGACUGUGAAUGUUUAGCAUUUUAUGCUUAAUUUAUUUUUAUGCUUCUGCUGGACUAGGAAUACGAUGAUGAAUUUUUAGAUUUGUCUGGCUUUCAGCUCCCAGCUGCCUCUGCUUGGAGAAACUGAUGGGCAUUCCUUCUCAGCAUUAAAAAGCAUAAACAGGGAGCGUUGAAGAGGAGGGCAGCGAUGCCACAGCCCAGCAAUGAGAGGACGGCCAGCAAACCAGCUCAGUGCAUUCUUGCAGGAAGGCGCGACGCCAGUUAUUCCCCAGUGCCUGAACAACUUUGCUGAGGAAACAGGUGUGAGUUACAGACCCUCGGAGGCUUCGCUUACUUUGUUCCUGUGCUGAGUGUCCCUUUGCUGAAACGGAAAGUCAGUGAGUGCUGGGGACUGCCUGCUGCUCUCCUCCUGCGGAACCUGCACAGCGGGCAGGCUCAGGAAAAAGGGGCUGGAGCAGUACUGCCUCCAGUUCUUAAGACCUUUGGAGACAGACAGUGGGAGGGAAAGCAUCUUCCAGGGAUGCAGGUACCUGCUGGGUGCUGGGUCUUUGUACUGAGAAACGAGGAUUUUAUUUGGAAAAAAUAAAAUAAAAAAUGCUGCUAUUGCCAGGGAAGCACCGAGGUCUGAGGUCCUGGGAAAGAAAGUGAGGCGCAAAGUGAAAUAUUGCGCUCAAACUUACAGGAAAAGUCUAUUUUUCCACGUUAAGUAUUUGUAUUUCUAAAAAAAACCCCCAUGUUGCCUGACUAUUUUUUAAAAAAAAUCUUUUCUCCUUUAUGCAACAAGAAAGUAACUGUAUGUAUGACAGUUAGUGUCCGCAACAAAAACACAUUUGCAAAAUUAUGGACGGAGCUGUAAGAGCAUUUUCCUUUCAAUAUUUUUCUGAUUUCUGUACAAGGCUCCCAAUUCAACGUUCCUCAUUAAGACUUUCUUAUAUUUCAAUUACAGAUCAUUCUAAUCAGCUUUUUAAUUACAGCUAGAGGAGACUAUUUACAGCACUUCUCACUGUUGCAAACAAGUCCCUGUGCAGAAAAACAAGAAAAAAAAAAAGGUAAUUACCUUUACAUGAAAAUGAAAAAUAAUGCUGUCAUUUUCUACUGCCAAAAAAAGAAAGGGAAACAUUUUCUACACCUCAUAGCUAAUACAGAUCUGGGCUCAAAAGGGACUAUUUUGGGUCAGAGUACGAAUCUCGACAUUAUCUGAAAUGGAGUUAGUUUCACCACAGGUAUUUGCUAUGAAGAUUUUGAAGGAAUUGAUAUUCUUACUUUAUAAAUUCUUGUAGUAAAUCCAGUGCCUCACCUGCAUAAAGUGUAUUUCAAUUACAUUAUACAAAGAUGCUUUUUGUAAGAGUUGUGAAUAUGAAAAAAAACAGGCAGAAUCACUGCGCUGUAUUACAAACCACAGAGUAGUAAUGAAAUUUUAUUCCAAUUUUUCAAGUCAUCUGAGAGCUCUUGCAGAUUUGGAAGUUUCCAUGGUGACGAUCUGUCCACAGAAUAUUGAAAGAGACCCUUGAACAAGGAAACUCUUACUGUUAUCAUCAUCUGCCUGAAACAUGAUGGAAGGAGCCAGAGCUUGAAGACCGUUCCUCGGGUCCGUUAGGAAUCUCGAGAUGGGAGUCCCUUGUGAGUAACCAAAACAGACUGGGCUAUGGAUCCUGUUCUGUGGAAUAUACAGCCACAGAUCCUUCUGCGAAACCUUGCCAAAUGUGCUUUUGAGCUCUCUGUUAAAUGCACGUAUUUGGCUCAGAUUCAAAGUUAGCUAAAUAAAAUGUGAUUAUUUGUGUUCCUACCUCUUCAGUGGUGUUUAAGGUCUUAUGUCCAGUGUACCUUAGGGGACAAAGUCUUCACCUGUCUAAGUCUGCCUUUCAUAUUACGUACUUGUAAAAAUACUCUGAUUUUAAGCUUUUUGGCAGUGCAUUUAUAAAACCACAAAGUAGUUCAUUAGGGGAGGUGUUGUUCCCUUUCCUUUAAACCUAAUACACUCACCAAUGUUUCUAUCAUCAUAUUUAUCAUUGUGUUUAACAUAAAACACUUCAACAGGUAUUUCUGUUCAGAGCAAUAUACUUAUAACAUUGAAAGAUCAUCAUUCCUUACUAACUCAGGGGGUGGUUUUCUCAUAUAUUCAUAUGCAAAGCUAUUGCACAUACAAUGGACUGUCACGACAUGGAGCAACGGUCUGUGAUCACCCUCUUUCAGGAGGAAUACACCUGAUGUUUGCUGCACAGUCUCAAAGACACGGCCAGUUUAACACUGAUCCCUGUCCAAUGCAAUGAGAAUCUCCACAGACUCUUUUUCUGCUACAGGCACACCUUUGUCACGAUUCAUUUGCAAAUAUUAAGGUAAGGAACCACAUAACUAGCUACUGGUAUUCAAGCUUAUCCCCUUCAGUAUUUGUGCAGUUGAUAUUUCCUUAUGUAGGAAUAUAUUCCUGGUGCAGAACGGCACUCUUAAACUCUGUCUCAAACUCUGUCUUAAGACAGGAAUUAAUGAUAGCACGUAAGCACUUUCUCAGAAAAAUUGCUUUAGAGGCUUUGAUUUUUCUGUAUCACAUACAUUCUGUAAAAUUCACAUAAAACAAUGUAUUAAGCUUUAUGUGGGUUAGCACUAAUCAGAAGAUAUUUUCCCUCUAUAGCAGUUUUCAUUUAUAAAGUGGUGAGUUUUGUUCAAGGGGAAAAAAACUUUUAAACAGUCAUUAGGAACCGCAGUUGCAAAGAUCUUCACAACUUAGUGUGCACAUUUUUAUUUUGGGCAGUGAUAAAACCAAUUUAAAUUUAAAAGGCAAUCAUACAUGUUAUUUGUCUCAAAUGAAGCAUGAACUCCAUGUGGAUGAAUUUAAAUCCUUCAUUCAGGCAGUAUGUUUUAGAAGUUAUUGCAAAUAUGCAGCUGCAGGAUGACAGAUAACAAUUCUGAUUUUAAACAAGGGGCUGUCAGCACUGGAAUUCCAGUCAGGCUUUUGUUGCAGCUUAAAGAUGCUCUCCUGAAAGAGAGUGAUUGCAGUGGAUAAGGAUGAAGUGACAGGGAAAAAGCUUUUGCUUUGUUAAUUGCUAACAAUUUAUAGGAGCAGCAUCUGUAAAAAUAGACCUUACUUAGGCUUUUCUCUGAGCUUUGAAAAAGGUUGAUUUUUUUUUAUGUUUUUUGUGUCCAGAUCUGCAUUUGCUCAUGUGUUAAAUGCCCUUUGAGUGUUAAUGCUGUUGCAAUAUAAGUAGUAACGACCCCACUGUUCCUAAACGUUGUACUCAUUGCUUUUAUCUGUGUGUAACACCUAGUUUUGUAGCUCUAGAAAACCUCCUUCACCAGAGCCCAGAAUGCACGCGUGGGCACAUCUACCUGCUGUCCCUCUGCUCUCCGUUUGCCUAUUCCAGUCUCAGGCAUGGAUUUUAACACAAAUGGUUGCACCAUCACACCUAGACAUGCUGGAGUUUUGCAUUUGGUUUCAGCUUGUUCUUUCUCAAAGGUUAAUAGUGACUCUCAAUGACUACAGCACCCUCAGACACUGUGGUCCGAUAAUAACUAAGGAGCAGCAGGGGUUUGAUUUUAAUUGUGUUACUUGGAUUCCGUUUAUUUAUCUUCAGUGUGCAAUAGAUCAGUCUGCAGCCUUGGUGUUCACAAUGAGUAUUACUCCCUUUGGUGUGUAUUUUGUCCACUAGUUCAGAGUGAUUUUUUAAUUUUCUUUGCACAUGUUUUUUUCAGGAUAACUAUAAAAAGCUAAAACUUAAAAUUAGAUAAUUUGUUUUGACAGUGACUGCCAUGGCAUUACUGUGCAAGCUGUACUAGUAAAGCACUAUGAAUAGUUUCUUCCUGUCUUGCAGAAGGUGGAAUGUUUAUCAUAAUGGAAUGGUACUCUGUGGCAACGGGUAAUGAGAUUGGUUGGAGUUCUUUUGUUUUCUGUUGUAUUUGUUACCAUGUCUAAAUAUUACAAGG